rnacentral:tRNA from 1 species
UCCCUGGUGGCUCAGACAGUAAAGCAUCUGUCUACAAUGCAGGAGACCCAGGUUCGAUCCCUGGGUUGGGAA